rnacentral:piRNA from 1 species
UGGUAGUAACUAUGAUGAUGAUGAUUAU